rnacentral:rRNA from 1 species
GACGAACGCUGGCGGCGUGCUUAACACAUGCAAGUCGAACGGAAAGGCCCUGCUUUUGUGGGGUGCUCGAGUGGCGAACGGGUGAGUAACACGUGAGUAACCUGCCCUUGACUUUGGGAUAACUUCAGGAAACUGGGGCUAAUACCGGAUAGGAGCUCCUGCUGCAUGGGGGGGGUUGGAAAGUUUCGGCGGUUGGGGAUGGACUCGCGGCUUAUCAGCUUGUUGGUGGGGUAGUGGCUUACCAAGGCUUUGACGGGUAGCCGGCCUGAGAGGGUGACCGGCCACAUUGGGACUGCGAUACGGCCCAGACUCCUACGUGACGCAGCAGUGGGGAAUAUUGCACAAUGGGCGGAAGCCUGAUGCAGCAACGCCGCGUGCGGGAUGACGGCCUUCGGGUUGUAAACCGCUUUCGCCUGUGACGAAGCGUGAGUGACGGUAAUGGGUAAAGAAGCACCGGCUAACUACGUG